rnacentral:rRNA from 1 species
AACGCGUGAGAAUCUGGCUUCAGGUCUGGGACAACAGUUGGAAACGACUGCUAAUACCGGAUGUGCCGAGAGGUGAAAGGCUUGCUGCCUGAAGAUGAGCUUGCGUCUGAUUAGCUAGUUGGUGGGGUAAGAGCCUACCAAGGCGACGAUCAGUAGCUGGUCUGAGAGGAUGAUCAGCCACACUGGGACUGAGACACGGCCCAGACUCCUACGGGAGGCAGCAGUGGGGAAUUUUCCGCAAUGGGCGAAAGCCUGACGGAGCAAUACCGCGUGAGGGAGGAAGGCUCUUGGGUUGUAAACCUCUUUUCUCAGGGAAGAAAAAAAUGACGGUACCUGAGGAAUAAGCAUCGGCUAACUCCGUGCCAGCAGCCGCGGUAAUACGGAGGAUGCAAGCGUUAUCCGGAAUGAUUGGGCGUAAAGGGUCCGCAGGUGGCUGUGUAAGUCUGCUGUUAAAGAGUCAUGCUCAACAUGAUCAAGGCAGUGGAAACUACAAGGCUAGAGUGCGUUCGGGGCAGAGGGAAUUCCUGGUGUAGCGGUGAAAUGCGUAGAUAUCAGGAAGAACACCGGUGGCGAAAGCGCUCUGCUAGGCCGCAACUGACACUGAGGGACGAAAGCUAGGGGAGCGAAUGGGAUUAGA